GGGGGGAGAAGUGGGUAUGAGCGAGAGAAAACAAAAAGAUGGUAAAAGGUGGCUGGUUGAGGCCUGCCUUUCCGGAAGAAGAUUUUGAAAGAGAUGGGAGAAGGCUUAGAGAGAAGGGAGUGGAGCGGGAGAAAGGGCAGAGGGCAAACUCAGGAACGUAGAGUUUAAAAAGUGGGGUUGAGGAAAUCUGUUGGUUAAAAGGCAGGCUUAGUGAUGGCCGCUCCUUCUCCCCGCAGAUCAAACUGCCCUGAGGCCUAAGAGGGAAGCGCUCGGAAAAGGAGGGGUGCUGAGAGGCCAAACCCUAAACGGCGGUAGCAGCACCGCGGCGGCGGCAUCCGAGGCAUUUCUGGUGGGUGGCGCUGUCAGAAGAGUCCUGAACUUGAAAGCUGCCUGCAAGCUGCCAAGUGGCAAAGGAUCCAGGAAAAGGCACAGGAUUGGAAAGUGCUACCCAGCAAUCUGUGUAUUCUGCAAUUAAGAAGGGGGGCUGACAGUGAACUUGGCCUUGCUGCCCUAGCCCUUCACUACUCAGAACAGCAGCAGCAUCACCUGGGAAUUUGUCAGAAAUGCAGAAUCUCGGGCGCUACCCUGGACACACGUGAAUCAGAAUCUUCCUUUUAACAAGAACCUGCAGUGAUUCAUACGUACAUUAAAGUCUGAGAAGCGCUGCCUCAGAGUCCUGCUCUCAGACCUUUCUGCCCACUUUCCCUGGGGUCUCUGGACUGGUGGCAGCAAUGGUGGGAACCAGCCCAGCUCUUGUCCCUGACAGGUCUCCUUCAGGCUUCGGAACCUUUGGAAUCACCCUUCCCCGGCAGCACUGACUGGUCCUGAAGUGGCCCCAGCUCUCAAGUCUGACUAUUUGGACUGGUCAGGCUCCUGGGUGGUCAGAGGAGAUGGGUGGACUGGAGGCAUUGGGGCUUGGCAAGGACUGAGAAGACACCAGGCACAUCCUCUCUCCAGCACCCCCACAUGGAGUUGCAGAAACAGCCCCAGAUCAGUGACUCUCAGUGUCACUUGCUGUUCUGGACAUUUGAGUUUCUGGCGUUGGGCAGGGCAGUCCCUCCUGCUGGUGGAGGACCUGGGUGGGGGACCUGGGUGCAGUUUGAUGGGCACUAGCAGGGGAUGUUUGACACGCCCAUGGUAGCUCCUUUCUCCCUGAUCGUGCUCCUCACUCCUGACCCUCUUUGGGGAACGUUUAUUCCCUAGGUGUUCAGGGACCUCCCGGGAAGGAAGAGGCAAGACAGCAUUGUUCUUCCUUGUAGCCUAUAGACCAGAGGGGGGUUGCAUGAGGCUCCCCAGGUGUGUGGGUCAGGGUCUGCUUUGGGGGCCUGGUCCUAGUAGGAGGCCUGCCAUUAAGUGACUUCCUCAGGUUUCCCCCCUCUGAGAUGCCCAAGUAAAGCCGUCAUCCCUGGCAAGCUGCCAGUCUGCCUUCUCAUUCGUUGGCCAUGCCAGGGCCUGUGUGGUGGGCCUUUGCACCCCUGCCUGUCUGUGUCAGGCCAGGCUCCUUUUUCUGGGCCAAGGGAAAUGUGAAUGUGACCCGCUGGAGGCCUGCCAGGACUGGGGCUUGCUCUCUCAUUCUGUUGUGUCACCUUUUACAGUGCCCGGCAGGCAAAUGCCAAUCUGGGGAGCUUGGCAAUUACGAUGCAAAAACAACCGAGACUGAACUCUGUAAACACCCUGGCCUCACA